UGCUGGGAUUAAAGAUAUUUGUCACCACAUCUGGAUCGAGGCGCCCUUCUCUCUGGGUGCCUUCUUUUAUCCUCUGCUGGUUUCAAACUCUGGCUUCUGGGGUCUUUCAGUGUGGACUCAGCAUGUCAGUGUGUCUUCAGGACUCUUCUAGCACCCUGCCUGGACUUGGACUGUUCAUCUCAUCUCCUUUGCUUCUUCAGUAGAGGGAGCACUGUUGGCUCUUUCCUGCCAUGGAAGUCAAUCUGAUAAAUCCCCGUACAUGUUCGAUUCCUCUAGAGCACCCAGCAAGGGUGAGUGAGUUUCUAAGACUCUGUGUCAAGAGGCAUAUUAAAUUUAAAUUUUUGAAACCUAAAUGCUCCAAGGCCAUUUGGGUCUAAUGAUUUCUUUGUAUCAAUUUACUUGGAAUGAAUUUAGUAAGCCUGGGUCACAGUUAUUGUAAUCAGUGUUGUGGGGAUGAAAUGUUAGGACAGUUCCUGUACCUAAGGAAUCUGUAACCGGAAAAGAUGCCUCCUGGAAAAUAACUCCAGAAAGGGCAAACGAUGGUCCAGCCCCGAUGGGGAGGGACCUGGCGCAGGCCUCUGUGGGGCAGGGUGAGCAGUUGGUUUGUUGGAAUGUGCUGGGAGUGAACAAUCCAGAGGCAGUUAGAAGGUGGCUAUGAGAUAGAGGGUCACGGUUGGUACCGAGACAGUUGGAGAGAGAGAAGUCAAGGCACACACACCGGUCUCAUGACCACAACAGGGCAACUGGUCAAAGAUGCUGGUUUUGGAAAGAGAUAAGGCCUGGAUCUGCCUGGCUUGUGGGAAGACGCUGACACCAAAGCCUCGCAGCAGGGCGAGAUGAGCGCCUGUGUAUGAGGCUGUGAUGUAGAAAAAAAAGCACUCAAACCUCGUUAUCGUUAAUAAGGGGCAAGAAGAAACUGAAGGGGCAGCUCAAGGUGCCACUGAGAAUUCCACCAUGGUGCAAGCUCACUGAAAUCCUGUCUGGGAAGGGCGGGAAGCAAGCAGAGAAGAGGCAUGGUGGCCUGAGCACCCUCUGAAUGCCAGAGAAUGGCAGAUUUCCGGCCUUGGACGGAGCACAGAAAAAGUCCUGGUAGCCUGUGAGCAGGCAAGUCAGGGAUAGUAAGUAAAUCCUGGAGCUGGUUUGCUAAUGUCACAAAUCAGCCAGCAGCGCUGUUGAUCUACCAAGACAGGGCAGAGAAGGAACUGAGUCCUCGAGGCAUCAUAUUGGGAGCAGAGAGCUGGCUAGAGCUGAACCUGGAGACACCUGCUCCGCCCACCAUGCCCCAUGGAGAGACUAGGGAAGCAGCGAGCUGUCCAGCUUCCCAUAAGCAUCAAAGAUUAAUGCCUGGAAUCCACCUCCGCGGCUGCAUCGCGUCAGACCUUAGUACGUCAUCUGCUUGAAAUGACGUCUUUUGGUUCGCUAGUCUCAGCGUUCAUGUUUCAUGUGUGAGCCAGAUGGAGAGCGGAAGGGAACCCGGGGCGCCUGGAUUCCCACCUCGGGGGGUCCACAAAUGGGCUCCGAACUCAGAGUUCCGGGGGGGCGGGGCAUGGCUGCGGCUUUGCCACUUACCAGCUGUGUCAUCACAGGAACCUUGUCUAAAUCUUUGUCCCCCAGUCCUCUUUUCUGUCAUAUGGUGAUAAUGGUCCCGAUCGGAUACCUGAGAGGUUUAAAUGAGGUCGUGUGUAGAAGCGAUUCAUUCAAGCAGCCUUCCUUUCAGUUACCAAGGCUCUUUUAAAAGGUCGAAUUACUUGAAAAGAAAAGAGUACCCGACCUUGAUAGCUGAGCAUUUGGUUAUGACGGGUGGGCUCGUCAGUGGGCAUGAGGGGCUGCUGGGCCCGAUCCCCCACAAGCCCCGGGGUUCUCCGUGUCUUGUGCCUGCAUUUCUAGAGUCUACACUGUUUGUUCCCGGCAGUGGCGCCUACAGCUUUAGUUUGGGUGCUCAGAGAGGGCCUGGCUACGAUUGGAUGCCUGGUGUGGGGUUCACUUGCCUGUAUUUAGGGCAGACCUCCUCAGCCUCAGCACUAUUGACAUUGGAACUGAAUUAUUUGUUUGUGGUAGUGUGUG
rnacentral:sRNA from 1 species